rnacentral:lncRNA from 1 species
UCGCAUCCUAGAAAACUCUAAUCCUAUCCGCACCUAUCCUUGCCAGAAAAGAAGAAGAAAGGCGGCCGGAAAGAAAUUCGACCAUCGUCGCUGCCACACCGGAGCCACUGCUGACAUUGGAGAGGUAAGUGUUUCUUCCCUUUUCGUUCGGAAUUCAAUUUUGAACCUCUCUACACUCAUAUUAGAGCUUAAAAGCUAAAAGAGAAGUUAGAAA